UUUGAUAAACAUAUGUCAAAGCACUUAAAUUUCAGACCUUCCUCACUUGGUGAGUGUAGUAGCCAGUUUCUAAGACCCACUCUGGUGAAAGUCAGCUGCCAGGUCAGGAGGACACUCAAGAAUCCCUCUGGAGAGGUGCAUGUGAGGAGGAACUGGGUACCAACUUGCCAACCAGGUGAGUGAGCCAUCUCGGAAGCGGAUCCUCCAGCCCCAGUCAAGCCUUCCGAAGACUGUAAUCUUGGCCAGUACCUGGCUCAGGAGAGAUCCCAAGCCAGAACCAUCCACUUCGCCAUUCCUGAAUUCCUGAUCCACAGAAACCUUAAUGGCAUUCUACACUGUCCAAAUUGCCCUGAGGACUAAACUAGACCUCUCUCUGUGUUUGUCUAUAUUCUCAAGCAAGCAAAGGGAAAUCAAGAUCAGAAUUUUAAAGUUCUGAACUCAACUCCA